CAUGGACCAGAAACGGGAAAGAAGUUCCGCCAGUAAGCACAGUACGGAUUAUCGGGGAACUUGUGAGAAAGGACCGUGAAGAAAGGCCCUUCUCUCAUCAAAAGUUCACGACAGCCAAGAUGUCUGCGAACUGCACAGUGAAUUUCAUUUCAUUUGUUUUCCAUUCUUACAAGGGGUAUCUGGUUGUUUUCCAUCUAUCAAUGCACCCAGCUUAUUGCUACUUAAGCUCUUGUGCAGUAUCUGGAC
rnacentral:lncRNA from 1 species